UACGAAGGGGGCUAGCGUUGCUCGGAAUCACUGGGCGUAAAGCGCACGUAGGCGGAUUGCUAAGUCAGGGGUGAAAUCCUGGAGCUCAACUCCAGAACUGCCUUUGAUACUGGCGAUCUUGAGUCCGGGAGAGGUGAGUGGAACUGCGAGUGUAGAGGUGAAAUUCGUAGAUAUUGGGAAGAACGCCGGUGGCGAAGGCGGCGACCUGGUCCGUGACUGACGCUGAGGCGCGAAAGCCAGGGGAGCGAACGGGG
rnacentral:rRNA from 1 species